GACGAACGCUGGCGGCGUGCUUAACACAUGCAAGUCGAACGGAAAGGCCCUGCUUUUGUGGGGUGCUCGAGUGGCGAACGGGUGAGUAACACGUGAGUAACCUGCCCUUGACUUUGGGAUAACUUCAUGAAACUGGGGCUAAUACCGGAUAGGAGCUCCUGCUGCAUGGUGGGGGUUGGAAAGUUUCGGCGGUUGGGGAUGGACUCGCGGCUUAUCAGCUUGUUGGUGGGGUAGUGGCAUACCAAGGCUUUGACGGGUAGCCGGCCUGGGAGGGUGACCGGCCACAAUGGGACUGAGAUACGGCGCAGACGGCAACGGGGGGCAGCAGUGGGGAGUAUUGCACAAUGGGCGGGAGCCUGAUGCAGCAACGCCGGGUGCGGGAUGACGGCCUUCGGGUUGUAAACCGCUUUCGCCUGUGACGAAGCGUGAGUGACGGUAAUGGGUAAAGAAGCACCGGCUAACUACGUG
rnacentral:rRNA from 1 species